GACGAACGCUGGCGGCGUGCCUAAUACAUGCAAGUCGAACGCUUCUUUCCUCCCGAGUGCUUGCACUCAAUUGGAAAGCGGAGUGGCGGACGGGUGAGUAACACGUGGGUAACCUACCCAUCAGAGGGGGAUAACACUUGGAAACAGGUGCUAAUACCGCAUAACAGUUUAUGCCGCAUGGCAUAAGAGUGAAAGGCGCUUUCGGGUGUCGCUGAUGGAUGGACCCGCGGUGCAUUAGCUAGUUGGUAAGGUAACGGCUCACCAAGGCCACGAUGCAUAGCCGACCUGAGAGGGUGAUCGGCCACACUGGGACUGAGACACGGCCCAGACUCCUACGGGAGGCAGCAGUAGGGAAUCUUCGGCAAUGGACGAAAGUCUGACCGAGCAACGCCGCGUGAGUGAAGAAGGUUUUCGGAUCGUAAAACUCUGUUGUUAGAGAAGAACAAGGACGUUAGUAACUGAACGUCCCCUGACGGUAUCUAACCAGAAAGCCACGGCUAACUACGUG
rnacentral:rRNA from 1 species